rnacentral:rRNA from 1 species
GACGAAGGUGGCGAGCGUUGUUCGGAAUCACUGGGCAUAAAGCGCACGUAGGCGGUGCCGUAAGUCGGAUGUGAAAUCCCUCGGCCUAACCGAGGAACUGCGUCCGAUACUGCGGUGCUUGAGGAUCAGAGGGGUGCAUGGAAUUUCCGGUGGAGCGGUGAAAUGCGUUGAUAUCGGAAGGAACUCCGGCGGCGAAAGCGGCUUCCUGGACCAGUACAGACGUUCAGGCACGAAAGCGUGGGGAGCAAACAGG